UCUCGAACUCCUGACCUCAGGUGAUCUGCCCACCUCGGCCUCCCAAAGUGCUGGGAUUACAGGUGUGAGCUACCGUGCUUGGCCGCUUGUCUGUAAAUUAAUCAGGGUAUGGUACAAUAGUAGUAGCAAACACAAGGAAGUCAGACAAGAACUUUGAGGUCACCAUAGAAACAUAAGCAACAGAGAUCGAAGGAACAAUAGAUUGGGAGAAAAGUAACAAGGAAAGUUAAGGGACAAAGGAGGAUAUAGUCUUCAAGGUAGAUUAAGAACAGAAAGGUUUCUAAAUGCCAGACUUUUCCUUGAGGCAUUAUACUGAUCCAUUGAAGACUAAGCAGGUUUUUAUUUCUCCAUAUUCUGAAGCUUAUAACUGCACUUUGAUUACUUAUUCCCUCUGAAAAGAAACUUCUUAUAGCCUACAGGACAUCUGUGGCAUCAAAUCCAAGUCUUAAUAUUUAAAUAUAUUUUUUUCUAUUUUAUUCCUUUGUCUUUCCAAUACAUAACUUUUCAGCAGGGUUAAUGUUUGUGUUAUCCUAGUGGAUCUCCUGGCCUCUACCAUCUGAACCAAGAAUUAACUGCCUAAUAGGGACAGUUGGAGCUCUUUUCCUGCACAAUAACCAAAGCAUACCAAGACGCGAUCAACUUCUUAUGGGAUCAGUUACACUUAAAAGAAAAAAAAAGUGGAAUAAUAGAUAAGAAAUAUAAUAAAAUAUUGAUAGGGUUGAUGCUCUUAUGGGUACAUGAGGGUUUCACUGUAUUAGUCUCUGCUUUUACCUGUAUUUUGUAGUUUACAUUAAUAAAAAGCUUUUUAAAACUGAAAAAAUACAGUAGUAAAAACAUCAAAAUAAUUAUAUUUUUAUGAUAAAAAAGCCACUUAAUCACUUCCAAGCAUUUUAUCACUAUUAGAAGGGAAUAUAAUCUAAUUGCUAAAAUUGUCAUAUAUUUCAGUUAUCUCAUCAUCCUCAGAAAGCAAAUUCAGCAAGUAAGUAGAUGCUAGUGAUGCAUCUGUAACAACAAAGAAAGAUGUGGUAGAGGGGGAAGGAGCACUGAAUUCAUGAAAACAAGUUCCUUGGAGGAUUGAUAAAGGAAGAUGAUAGUAUUUCUACUCUGUCAGGGUAAUUCAAAAGCAUAUUUUUAAAUUUGUUACUACUUCUUGAACUUUACUAUGUGCCAGAACUAGGUGAUUUAUAUACAUAGCUCAUGUAAAACUUAUCAUGAGAUGCUAAAGAGCUUCCACUUAAAGGAAUUCAAAUUCUUGCUGAUUUUUAAUGAUGACCACUUUUGUUCAUUGCUAAUCUUCCUGUCCUUCAUUUUCUUCAGCCCUUCCCACUACUGCACCCUAAUCUUUAAAAAGCAAAACAAAUAAACAAUAACAAAAGUACUGACUUCAUAUGACUGCUAAAGGAAAAGUGAUGAUAUUGAAUUUGAUCUAUCAUCUUAAUAUUACUAAUUUAUAUUACCUAUUUAAAAUGUUACAGUAGCUCCCUCUAGUUUACAAAGCACUUUAGAAUACAUUAGCUAACUCAAUCCUCAAAAACGCCUGUGAGAUAGAUUUUAUAUAUCCCAUGGAGCUGAGGCUAAGAGGAAAUUGAGCAACUUUCUCAUUUAGUUGAGUGGCAGGCCUAUGUCUAAACCCAAGACUUCUCACUCUGCAUUAAGAGCUUUUCUUUAUCCUAUUUUAGUCACAGGUAGGCUCGACUAACCCAGGAAUGUGCUAUAUCAAUGUACUUGAAAAACAGAAACACCUAACACCUAGAUCUUAGUUUCUAUCACCAUCCUCUACCAUUUUCCAUAACCAGGACUCCUUGAAGAAAUCACCGAUUAUAUAAUUGGAGCAGGGAAAAUACAAGAUUAACUUGGAGUAUCUAAUAAUACUAGAAAGUAAGGGAGUACUCAAAAAACAAAAGGAUAGGGGAGUGACAAAAGAAGACAGGACUUUGGGUCUUUGGUCUUUGGGCUUCCAAUGGCCAAAGCUGGAACAAUUUGAGCAACAAAAUGAAUAAUGCAUAUAAAAUAAAUAUCCAUGAGUGCAUAUUGAUAUAAAUAACUGAAUAAAUAAGUAUGUGAGUAAAUGGGGAAGAAGACCCAAAUCCCCCUUACAUAAGAAUAAUGGACUUAUAUGUCCCCCUUCCAGGAGAUGGAAUUUAUUUUCCCUUCCCCCUUGAGUGUAGACUAAACUUAGUAACUUGCUUCCAAGGAGUGGAGUACGGAAAGUAAAUUUAAAAUAGAGUAACCAGGCAAACACUAUCUUCGCCAGGUGACCAAGGUUAACAUCAUUAGUGAUAAGUCACCUUGACAGCAUAUUCCCUUGAUGUGAUGUGAUGAAAAUAGAAGCUUACCUCUGGUCUUUCUCUCAGAAUCCCAUAACCCCAGCCUAAUAUGAGAAAAACACCAGACAAAUUCCAUUUGAAGGAUAUUCUACAGAAUAUCUAACCAGCACUCUUCAAAACUGCCAAGGUCAUGAAAAACAAGAAAGAAAAGAAACACAGAUGUGAUGAAUGAAGAAAAAUACCAGUUGAGUCACCUAACCAGUACUGAAAAAGUUAAGUUUCAAAAUACGGAAUCACAGGAAGAUGAAAAGGUUCUGAAGCAUUUACAAUUUUAUAAGCUUUCUUCGGGGUAAAACUUAUGUUUAAAACUUGCCAUGCAGGAUGUCUUGCAGCCCCACCACAAAGAAGAUUCAGUGGAGCUGAACAAGCUCACUACCAAGCCACUGAAAAGAGGAAAGAAAGUCCAUCUGAGAUCAAAGGUCGCACUUCCCAUUUUUUUCAAGUUCUGCAAAGGUGAUCUGUUUCCCUUUAGUGCACAGGAAAUAAGUGAGAUGUUCUCUAAAAGCCUUUACCUGUUUCACCUUAUACUGUAAUCACUAAAUCCAGAAGACUAACGCAAACUCAUACUUAAAAAGAAAACAAUUAGCCUAGAGCACGUAAUAGAAAUCAGAAGCAUUUGA
rnacentral:lncRNA from 1 species